CUGACGCUCUAUCCACUGAGCAAAACCAGCUAGGGCCUUUUGUAACUUUUAACAUUCUUCCUUUACCUGUUGAGCAUCUUCAGGGGCCUGAUAGCCAGCGCUCAUUUCCCCACCUGAACUCUGAACCAACUGAGAGAGGAGUACUCGGCAGACAGAGAACACAGUACCAUCUUUAUUACAGAGUCCACACAGGAAAGGACAGCGUGUCCUGGAGCUGCAGACAGGGGGCUUCAGACCAAUGAGCCCUGUGGGGAUAGAGCUGCACUGAGGCAGGUCCCCUCCCACCCAAACCGGUGCCAGCUAGCCCCAUGUGCUUCAGAACAGGUCACAUGCUCUUUGUAAGCUGCACCCAAAGAUUAAAAAAGAAAGAGGAAGCACAGAGUCGGAACGCCCAGUUCUGCCUCCAGUUUCCCACACUGUGCCUCCACAGGGGCGUCGCUGUGGAGUGUCACCCCAAUGGGGCUCAGUGCGCAGGGAAGGAAGCAGGAGGGGGGAGUGGGGAGCCUCCUCCACAAAUCUCUUUUAAAAAUAUGUCAAGUAGUGUUUUUAAAAAUCAAUGUAAGAAAAUUAAAGUUCAUAGAGCUGACAUAAUCUAGCCAACGUGUGGCAGAGCAAAAUGGAAACCAGAUGCUCUGACUUCUGAUUCCUGCAUCUGGCCUGCACUGCCCGCUGCCCCAGCACGAAGAGGGGCAGAGAAACCAGACAGGUGAAGGAAGAAACGAGGCCCAGAUCAUGGAAGCAGAUAAGCCUGUAGGGCGCUCAGGGAGUACGCAGGUGAUGAGAAUGGACAUCCUGGAAGGAACCACAGACAGUUUCAUGUCCCUCGGAAGAGACGACCU